rnacentral:tRNA from 1 species
GGAGGGUUGACCGAGCGGUCGAAGGUGCACGCCUGGAGAGCGUGUGUGCGGCAAAACCGUACCGUGGGUUCGAAUCCCACACCCUCCG